rnacentral:rRNA from 1 species
GACGAACGCUGGCGGCGUGCUUAACACAUGCAAGUCGAACGGAAAGGCCCUGCUUUUGUGGGGUGCUCGAGUGGCGAACGGGUGAGUAACACGUGAGUAACCUGCCCUUGACUUUGGGAUAACUUCAGGAAACUGGGGCUAAUACCGGAUAGGAGCUCCUGCUGCAUGGUGUGGGUUGGAAAGUUUCGGCGGUUGGGGAUGGACUCGCGGCUUAUCAGCUUGUUGGUGGGGUAGUGGCUUACCAAGGCUUUGACGGGUAGCCGGCCUGGGAGGGUGACCGGCCACAUUGGGACUGAGAUACGGCCCAGACUCCUACGGGAGGCAGCAGUGGGGAAUAUUGCACAAUGGGCGGAAGCCUGAUGCAGCAACGCCGCGUGCGGGAUGACGGCCUUCGGGUUGUAAACCGCUUUCGCCUGUGACGAAGCGUGAGUGACGGUAAUGGGUAAAGAAGCACCGGCUAACUACGUG